UUUCUCUGCCCCGAUUAUGACCUCAUGGAAUGACCAGUAGAUUUCCCAAGAGGAAUGUGAAGGAACUGGUUGCCCUCUAAACAUGGCCAGGACCACCACGGGGUCCAAGUUACCACUUUCAAUCAAUUACAAAGUGCCCGUUCUCUACCAUCUAAGGCAAGCACAAGCGCUGGAGAGGACAGCAGCACAGGUGGAAACAAUGGAGAAGCAAAAAGUGAUGUGAGGGCAAGAGCCGAGAAGAAAAGAACCCGGGGGAUGUAAAGCAAAAAAAGAUUUAGAAACUCUUCGAGUUCGGCGAGGGCUGGGAGACCUGAAAACUAUUUCAAGAAGGAAGACGGAAGCAAAGAGGCAAGGGCCUGCAGGCGAGAGGCCCCACCCCUAAGCCCUCGGGCAGACAGCCCCGCCCCCGAGGGGAGGAGGGACUUCCUCCCUGCGGGCAGCUGCUUCCGGUGGAGUCCGGAAGACGCUAUCGGGAAGGGACUAAAACUGCGCAGCCAAUCGGGGCGACACUUUCGUCUUACCGGAGGACUCGUGGGUAACUUGCUCUUGGGAACCAGCACCAUGGCGUCUGGCUGCAAGAUUGGCCCGUCCAUCCUUAACAGCGAUUUGGCCAAUUUAGGGGCUGAGUGCCUCCGGAUGCUGGACUCUGGGGCCGAUUAUUUGCACCUGGAUGCACCCUGCUCUUCAGGGAGGUCAGUUUUUUUGCAUUUUGUUCCCAACAUCACCUUUGGGCACCCUGUGGUAGAAAGCCUCCGAAAGCAGCUAGGCCAGGACCCUUUCUUUGAUAUGCACAUGAUGGUGUCCAGGCCGGAACAGUGGGUAAAACCAAUGGCUGUAGCAGGAGCCAAUCAAUAUACCUUUCAUCUUGAGGCUACUGAGAACCCUGGGGCUUUGAUAAAAGACAUUCGGGAGAAUGGGAUGAAGGUUGGCCUUGCCAUCAAACCAGGAACUACAGUUGAGUAUUUGGCACCAUGGGCGAAUCAGAUAGAUAUGGCCUUGGUUAUGACAGUGGAACCUGGGUUUGGAGGGCAGAAAUUCAUGGAAGAUAUGAUGCCAAAGGUUCAUUGGUUGAGGACCCAGUUCCCGUCCUUGGACAUAGAGGUCGAUGGUGGAGUAGGUCCUGACACUAUCCAUAAAUGUGCAGAGGCAGGAGCUAACAUGAUUGUGUCUGGCAGUGCCAUUAUGAGGAGUGAUGACCCCAGAUCUGUGAUCAACCUGUUAAGAAAUGUUUGCUCAGAAGCUGCUCAGAAACGUUCUCUUGAUCGAUGAAACCGUGAGGAGUCCAGUGUUUACGCUCAUGAAAUCUUUCUCCUGGAAAACAAGAAUAUCGACUACCAAAACAUACCACGGUUGAAGCAGGGCUGUUUCUCUGAGCAGCUGUUCAUUCCAGUGACUAAAAUCUAUCCUGCAGAAUGUUCCAGGAGGUUAGAAAUUGCAGAACCAGAUGGCUGAGGAUAUUCUGGACGUUAUGGAUUUUGACCCCAAGGAUAUAUAUUAUAUUAACCCAACAAAGACCAGUAAGGCUUCUGUGUCUUCAUCCUUCAGCGGAAAAGUCCGUCGUUCCCACCACAAAGACUGAAAGAAAGAGAAAACCUUUUCAGUUAAGUUUCAACUAAUUUGUUUAAAGUUCAUGUAUCCAAUAAUCCUUAAAUGUCAACUGUGUAAUUAUUGUUUGGUUCUUUAGCACGUCAAUGUACACAUUUUUAUUUGGGCCUAAAGAUCUAGCAACUCCAGUGGAACAUACUGGCAAUUGUUUAGAGACCUUUGGGAACUAUCUUUCCACUUCACCCUUCCACAAAGAGGAAACACCGCUAUAAGGCACGGGUCUUCCUUAUCAGCACAGGAGUGCUUUGGGAAAAGCCCCUUUAAAGGUGUUUGAUCUACUUGAGUGUCUCCAUUUCCAUCCCAUAACUAUCACAGACACCUAUUGACUUUUCCUUCCCCGAGCUUUCUACGACUUGCCUAUUGAUUUUUAUAGUUUCUGCUCUGUGUUCUAGAUACAGUUCUUCUUUUUCAACACCUACUUAUGAAGAACAAUGCAAAAAUUUAUAGAUGGUGUGUUAGAAAUCAUUCCCUGUGAGGUAAGAACUGGAUCCACAGGGAGACAGGUAAAAAUCUGUUACGAAGGGAAGAGAACUAGCUGACAUUUGCUGUGUGCCAGGUGCUGUUCUCUCUAAUCAGAUUUGUGUCGUCAUGAAACUUGGAUAGAAUCCCCAUUUCCUAACAGAUAAGUGAGUAGGUGGAGUUAGAUACUGACCUGUUCUACGAAAAGAUAAGGUGUGUAUGAUUAGUGACAGAACUAGAAAAUUUGUACCCAGCAGUUAACGCUGGAUUGUUAUGCUGAAUUCAUUAAUUGGCAACCAGCAGGUUUCUACAAACAGGUUUUCAAAAGGGUAAAAGGCAUUGAAAAAGAGGUGUCACGUAUAUCAUACUUACCUUGAGUUCUUGACUUUGAUUUAAGGAAGGUGAGCCCCGUGUGCCCAGAUCCUGGCUCUGCGGAGAAGGCUCGGCAGGACUCUCGGCAGCACGGUGCUGACCACCACCAAGGUCGUUAGGGUAUUCUUUCAAGAGCAAGUCCUGUCCUUCAACGUUUCUACUGUAAGCUCUAGCAAGAAAAUCAAGAAAAUAUUUAAUUACUAUUUCUUGAGGUCUUAAUGUUUUAUGAACGACCCCUAAGUCCAUUUAACUUGGUAGCUUUUCUUUAAACAGUUCUGCCCAAAAGAUUUCUAAAAAUUCAUCUGUCAAUCUUCCUGAUGCUUUCUCAAAGACUUAAACAGUAUGUUAUGAAUACUAUUUUGUGAAACUGCCAAAUUAUAAUAGUGGGUUUCGGGUUUUCAAGGAGGGAGUUUUUGUUGUUUUAUUUUUAAAUAAGAAAGGAAUGUUACUUGACCCUUACAGUCUUUCAGAGUUCCCAGAGUAUUCUAAGACUAUUAUAAUGUCAUCCAUGUAAGACUCGAUUCACAUUUUCCUCUGUACUUCUAGAAAAUUAUCUCUCUGGAAUGUGGAGAAAGAAGACAAUUGAGUCUUAUAUGUGUGUUAAGAUAACUCUUGGAAUAAGGAUCUACAAGAAAUCGGGAUAUUUUCAGACCUAAAGAGAGAAAUGUGUUUUCAAAAUACAGUUGAGGGGCGCCUGGCUGGCUUAGUAGAGCAUGUAACUCUUGAUCUCGGGGUUGUGAGUUCGAGCCCCACAUUGGGUGUAGCGAUUACUUAAAAGUACAGGCUGACCCUUGAUGAACACAGGAGUUGGGAGCACCAACCACUUUGUGCAUUCAAAAAUUCACAUAUAACUUUUGACUCCCUCAAAACUUAACUAUUAAUAGCUGACUGUUGAUCAGGAAACCUUACCAGUAAUAUAAACCAGUCAAUUCACACAUUUUGUAUAUGUAUUAUAUACUGCAUUCUUACAGUAAAGUAAGCUAGAAAAAUGAAAUUUGUUAAAAUCGUAAGGAAGAGAAAAUACAUUUAUAGUACUGUACUAUUAAAAAUCUGUGUGUAAGUGGGCCCACAUAGUUCAAACCACAAAGUUCAAACCUGUGUUUGAGGGUCAACUGUACUAAGUAAAUGAGAGGUGCCCCCACACUAAAUUUAGUGACUACCCAGACUUCAUGAUCUUCCUUUCUGAGUUUCGGCUAUAUUAAAACACAGUGAAAUGUAAAUAUAAAAUACCAUGGACUUUCUCAAAUAUAUAAUUACUAAUUACAUUCUCAGGAUUUAAUCCUCCCUCCCCAAAAGUCAUAUUCAAAGUAUUUUAGACCAGGUGCUUUUUGUCUUUUAAUUUUUUUAAAUGUUUACUUAUUUUGAGAGAGAGAGGCAGAAUACAAGCAGGGGAAGGGCAGAGAGAAAGGGAGACAUGGAAUCCAAAGCAGGCUCCAGGCUCUGAGCUGUCAGCACAGAGCCCGACGCAGGGCUGGAACCCAUGAACCUUGAGAUCAUGACCUGAGCUGCAGUCAGUCACUUAACCGAUUGAGCCACCCAGGUGCCCUAGACCAUCUGCUUCUUAGACUGGUUUUUUGAGAACAUUUUUUUUUAAAAAAAAUGUAUUUUUUAAGUGGGUAUGUUAAAAUCGAUCACCAAGAUUCUAAUCCCUAGUGUAAGGUCUGCUAUCACAGUACAAUGAGAUGAUCUACUUUAGGGAGAAUUUUCACAUUAUUUGCUGAGUUAAAUCUGUUCCUCAGGCUGACAGUAAGCAUGAGAAAUAAGAGUGGAGGAAAAUACAGAAACUCAUUUCAUUACUCUGUAAUUAGCCAAAAUGUAUAUAUAUAUUUAUUUUGACAGCACGAGUGGGGGAGGGAGACAGAAUCCCAAGGAGGCUUUGCGCUAUCAGUGUGGAGCCCAACGCAGAGCUCAAUGUCACAAACCUGUGAGAUCAUGACUUGAGCCAAAAUUAAAAGAGCUGGACGCUUAACUGACUGAGCCAUCCAGGAGCCCCAGCCAAAAUAUAUUUUGAAUGUAAGCUCAGUAAAUGCAAUGUUUCCCUCCUGUGCACAAAUAACUGAUGUUAUACAGUAUAUACUUUUUCCUUUCUAGUGGUCUUCCUCAAUAUUCAUGCAGCAUUUUGUUAAUUCUACAUGGAUUUCAUGGGUUUGGCUUUUAAAUUGAUAACACCUGCCUGCUGUUUCUUCUGUGCCACUUGCUUUGUUCCCAUAGUGACCAUCUGGCUUGCUCUCUCUCUUCAUAUUUUUUGUGUCUUAGGGAGAAGACUUCAUCAGAAAGAUCUUCUACCUGGAAUUAGAAAGAAAGUUUUUCUUUUAUCAGAAACAUUUUGAAAUAGAACAAUUUCUCAUCAAGAGAAUAUAGGAAGAAAACUCUAAAAUUGAACUUCAAAUUCGAAAAUAGAGGGAGUGAACUUUUUUUUUUUUAAACUUUUUUACUUCUGGGUCAUAUUGGAAGACUUAACCUAGAUUACAGAUAGGUUCACAGUGCUUUGUAUAAAAAAUUCUUAAUGCUUAAUUCAUUCAAAGGUUUGUAUUUGAUUGCCCUUUAUGGAAUACACUGUUCUCUUAACAUGUUAAUAUCAAAGUAAAACUGAAAAAAAAGAAGAUUAAUUUAACUAAUGAGUUAUCAGAGGUUCUAAGACUCUGGUGGUAGUGGUUUAAGAAUUUGGGUUUCCUGGCCAGAAUCAUUCUGAACUAGGGAAGAGUGCAUUGAAAAGUUGAUUUGGUAGCUGAAGAACAGUCAGCGGGCCUAGAAAGAGUAUGACAGAGACAAAAUGUCUUACAUAAUACAGCUUCUACAGAUCAUCACUUUCAAAUUGAUUUGGUUACACAUUUUUCCCUGAAAUUAUGCUUGUCUUAAUAGAAGUUUUACCCAUACAGGCUCACAGUCCCUUUCCUUCAGUUCUAAAAAUCUGAAAAAACACGUGUUCAUAAUUCAUUUGGUGACAUAGCCUGUUCUGGAAUGAUGAGGUUAUUCCAAUUUCUAUAAAUAUUUCCCUAUAGAAACAUUAAUAUUUGAUUAUGAGAACUAUGCUAGACUCCACAUAUGUCUUCUUUCUUAAGUCCAAAGUUUUCCAAAUUCAAAAGCAACCUGUUCCCAAGGUUUUGAAUAUGGCAUUGUAGGGUUGAAUAUUAAGACCACAUCUCCUUAAACAGAAAAACAGGACUAAUAACUGGAAAUGAAUAUAGAUAUUAACAUAAAUUCAGUGUUUCAACAGUUCAUGUGAGCAACUGACAUGUUUUUCUUUAUAUGUUACUGUCUUUGCAAAUCUAAAUUUGCACAAAAACAUUUUCCUAAUGAAGUUAAUAUCCUUAAUGAAGUUUCUUUUCCUAAGUGAAAAACAAGUCAAUGUAUGCUAAAGGGCUUAUAUUUCCCUUGAGUUCCUCAAGUCCCAGAUUAAGUAGGCUUCGUAAUGUAUACAGUGCAGUUAUCUGUAACUGAAAGGCAACUUACCUCUUCACCUACGUUAUAUUCAUCCAGAGGCUGAAGAACAGCCAUUCUCCAGCUGUUGAAGAUACAAACCAGUUUCAGCUUAUGUUAAUCUAAGUGUAGCAAUUGUAUUCUCUAAGCACAGCUAAUGCAGUAGUGUUUUCUUUCCUUGGGACUUGCACAAUUCAAAUGGUUGUAUUUUCAUACUUUAUUUUUUUAAAGAGAAAAAUUUGUAUUAUGAAAAGAAGAUGAGACUUUUGGCCUUACAGUGAAUAACUGUCUCUUCUGUGUAGCUGCAUUUUAUACCUAAGAAUAUACUAAUUUUGAAUUAAGUCAAUAGAUGGUGAUACAGUGGCAGGAAGAAAAAACAAAAACAAAAAAUCCCUCACUUGAGCAUUUGGCAAUUUCUUUGUGUGAAGACACCCGGCAUGGCCUCUUGAGUUUAACCACUGGAUCACAGAAUUCCUCUAUUUAAACAACUAACCCAGCCAGCCAGCUGCAGCCUACCAAUGUCAAUUGAAAAAACAUCGUUGCUGCAGAACAUCAUAACUACAAAUGGUACUCUGCUUCUGCAGAAUGUCUCAACAAGUUCUCUGUGGGAUUUCUCAUAAUACCUCCUAGAAUAGUAAGAGUUCUUAAUACCUCAAAGCAAUUAGGAAUAAGAGAAUUCGAAAUCAGCUAAUAUAGAGAGGGGCAGGAAUUACUGUAGUUGUCACUGAGCUUAUGUCUGUUUCCACCCUCUUCUGUCUACUUUCUGGUGCCAGAUUCACAUUCUGAAGAAACUGCUUUCAUCAUUGCUAAAAAACAAAACAAAGGAAGACUUUGACUAACUUCACUGCCACUAGGAAGCAGAUCUGUGUAUGGCAUUCAGGGACCUCCAUAAUCCGGUUCUAAUUUCUUUUGUAGCCAUAACUUCAUCACCCUAUACAAAAACUUGGUCUCUAGCUUAGGCUUGCACACUUACCUGUGUGCCUUUGUUGUGGUUUCCCUGUGUGAAUAAACUUUCUUCUUUUUCCCUCCUUCGUGAUGCCCCACUAAUAUCAUGUAUGUAUUGCUGACUUGGCAAUACAUCAGAAUCUUAUUUUUGUGGUCAUAGGUGUUACUGUCUUGCAGUGAAUACCCCUUGCAAAGGUAGUUGCUUUCUUUGAACCCUUUUUGCAGUCAUUUACAGAACUGCAUGUUAAAGAGCAAGGGUUUUUUAUUACUCAGCUUUACAUCCCUAAAUAGCCUUUAGUGCCAUAUAUACAUAAAAGGUAACUAAACAUUGAAAAAAAGACUUAAGAGCGUUAGAGUAAGUUAAGUCUUAGGAAUUCCCAAUUCUUAAUAAAAACUGAGAGGCAGGGUGAUAAUAUACGGCACUUUUUUUCAGCAUGAGUAAUGUAAAGGUUUCUUUCACCGUUCUCCCUUCAUGGUUCUCUAAGUAGAAGACAGGAGAGAGGAACAUCUUCCUUUCAUUAAUUAAAAUUUUAACUUCACUUUGAAAAUUUAAGUUUACUCAAGAAGGAAGAGAAAAUAAAAAGAUGUAAGUAUACAUACCUUGGAGUAAGUAUUUCCUUAUAUUGGAGUUUCUCCAACUUAGCUGGGGCAACUAAUGACAUGGGAAUCACGAUAUUAUCUAUGUCAUAAGAGCUCUCGCUUCUCAAUCUCCGUCGUGCAGUAUUCUGCAAGGUAGGAGGACAGCGACUCAACAACAGAAUCUCGUUACCUGUGCUGAUGCCCUCCUUUCAUGAGGGCUAGAAGAGGUGUACUGCAUACAUGUUUUAUAAAUACGUUGUGAUAGAGUGGACUAUAAAAUGUUAAAAACAAGCACACCUCUCCUUUGUAAAACAACACAAUCCCUUUGGCAGGUGUGAAGUGUACAUUUGUGUACACAUACAAGCCUAUUUUUAAGACCAUAAAAAAUAGGAAUACCUUAAAAUGUCAAACUCUUACCAGAGGUUACCAUAAAGCACCCAAAUGUCAAGGAAAUGAUCAUUUAACAACCACACUUAUUAGGAAAGAAUAUGAAAUAUUUGGUGUACCAUUUAGUAAAGAUCAUUUUUUAUAAUCUUUAUUUGUGUGUUCCUGGUCCCUGAGCUUUACAGUUUCUUCUAAACCCUUUCACCUUUUAACCCCUACUCUGACCAGAUGACAAAACAGUAAGAACAACACAAGUGCUGGAUUCUUAUUAGCAAGACUAAAUUUAGCUUCCUGGUAAGGAGUAGGGAUGGUUAUGAUAGUUUCUCACAGGAAAAACCAAAAAACUAUAAUCAAGGAUUACUGAGCAAUUAGCUCACUAGUAAAAAAGUUAAAUACAGUUUAUUGCUUCCUAAGAAGAUCAUUUUAGGGGCGCCAGGGUGGCUCGGUCAGUUAGGCAUCUGAAUUCAGCUCAGGUCAUGGUGUCAUGAUUCAUGAGUUACGAGCCCCGCAUCAGGUUCCCUGCUGUCAGCACAGAGCCCACUUCGGAUCCUCAGUCUUCCCCUCUUUUGCCCCUCCCCACCUUGCUCGCUCGCUCUCUCCCUUUCUUUCAAAAACCACAAAAACCGGGCCGGUAUGUACAAGUAAAAUAAGGCUAUUAAAGAAUAACAAAAUACUCUAUACGUUUUUUUACUGGCCAGUUUUAAAAAUCUACAAGCAAUUUUAGGGUUCAGUAUACCAAAAAACCUACUUGUGAUGAUGAAUUCUGGGUUCUUGAUAUAACAUUGACAUUAGUAACAGCAGUAAAAUUGCUAUGGGAUCCUGGUUCUGUGCGUUGAAAAGCAAAUUCUUCAAAUCUAGUUCUUUCUCCUGCCAUGGAAAGAACCAUUGAGAAUGUCAUACAUUAAACAUGGUGAUAGGUCUUAAAAUUACUUUCCUAAUUGGGUAACAUUCCUUAUCUGUUUGAUCUUUUUAUUUUUAAAACUUAUGUAUCAAAAACAAAAAAUUAAGGAAAUGAAAAAAAUCUUACCCACAGUUCUGUCACAAUUAUUUCCAUUUACUUUUAAUCCAGUACCUCUAAUUUCUUUAAUCUCCCUUCUCUUCACUCUGUUCAUGUUUUCUGUAAUGCCUAUUAUUUGGAUGUUAACAUCCAAAGACUUACCCCCUUAAUUUUCUCUGUGUUUUUCAUUUUGACUUUUUAAUUUCUGGGAGAUUUCCUUUCCUUAACUUGAUCUUCUGACCAUUCUACUGAGACUUUGUCUGCUAAUACAUUAAAUUAUUAAUUUCUAAUUACAUAGGAAAAUAUUUUUCCAUUUGUUUUGAUUCCCUAAUUGUGAAUAUAUAUUUAUUCACUUAUUUUCUGCCCUUAUUUUACUUUAGUACUGAUCUUAAAAAGUAUUCUGUGUAACAUAAAAUUUAAUACCCAGUCCAUACUUAUAUUUUUCUAGUUGUUAAAAAAUGUCCUUUAUGGUUAGUAGUUUCUUCAAAUCAGGAUCCAUAUAUUGAAAUUAGUUACUGUCUUUUAAGUUUCUUACAAUCUAGAAGAGUUUGUUUUUCAUGAUAUUUGUUAAAGAGACCAGCUACCUUGCUCUUUCGGGAGUUACCUAUUUACUUUGUAGUCUGGCUCUUACCUGUUCUAUUCCUGUAUUCCCACCAAACUUGAAGUUACGAAGUUAGAUCAAUUCAGGUGAAACAUUUUAGAUCUUAGGUAAUCUGAACUUCAUAGUGGUUCUUAUUAAGAGAUGCAAGUUUUCCUGUGUGUUGGUAUGUAGAUAGUCCUCAACUUAGCAAUGGUUCCACUUAGGAUUUUUCAACUUUAUGACAGCCCCAAAGUGGCAUGCAUUCAGUAGAAACCGUACCUUGGAUUUUUCUGGGAUAGCAGUGUGGUAGGACACCCUUAGGCUGGGCAACAAACUGCAACUCCUAGUCAACCAUGUGAUCAUGAAGAUAAACAAUGGAUAUACUUAAAACCAUUCUGUACCCAUACAGCCAGUCUGUUUCUCACUUUCAUUAUAGUAUGCAAUAAGUUAGAAGAGAUAUUCAACACUUUGUGUUAGAGGAUUUUGCUGAACUGUAGGCUAAUGUGUUUUUAGCACAUUGAAGGCUAAGCUAUGGUGUUUGGUAAGUUAGGUGUAUUAAAUAAUUACUGACUCAAGAUAUUUUCAACUUACCAUGGGUUUAUCAGGAUACAACCCUGUUGUAAGUUGAAAGAGUAAGAUCUCUAUAUGUAAGUUCCUCAGAAGCUAGGUGACUCUUGGUUGUCCUAAGAUUGAGGCACUAAAAAGCACAAUGGAAUCUCUGGAUGUGGCCCAGGAGUUUAAUUUUGUGCCACACUACCUUAUCAGGUAGUGACUUGGGCUGUUAAGGUGGGAUUUCUAGAGACAGUAGUGAUAAAUGUGUUAAAUUCAUCAAGUAUAAUUAGUCCAGCACAUCUUGAAUGCAAUUUCUAAGUUUUUGGGUAUAUUGACAUAUUACAUCUGGGGAAUACUUGACUAAUGAGUAUAGUGUUCUGUCCACUGGAACAAUGAACAAGAACCAAAAAAGUAUAUAGAUAAUUUGCAUAUAUAUUUCCUGGUAAGUUUUAUUUUUUAAUCAUUAUUUGCAACAAUUCUGGAAACAAUCUGAUAGUCCCAAGUCCCCACAACAAAAAUCCCACUUUGUAUUAUUAGAAGAGUUCUAGUUUCAAAGAGAUCUGUUGACCAUUUUGGAACUAUAAGUUCCUAAGAGAAAUUGAACUACUUGGUUGAGUUACCUUUGGUGAAUCUCAGUUUCUCAAAAUUCUAAGGAAGCUUCAGUGAAUUGACACCCCCACAGUAAGUCCCCGAAAUGGUAAUACAUUUCUGUGAGGAGACUUUGUACUGACAUACUCGGAGUCCAGAACACAACCCUGGAGGCUUAAGUUCUGUUUCGGAGGAUAGUCAGUAGAAGAUAACUCUGGACAGGGAAAAUAGGAAGGAAAUCCUUAAUUGCCAUUAGUGGAUGGAUGCCCAGUCCACAGAUCAUUCUGAAUUGUCUAUAUGAAUAUGCUGUAAUGUUUUUAGGGCCAUGGAUAUUUUGUGUAAUUAGUGAUUAUUCUGGAUUACCAAGCAGAGGUUCUUUGAAGAUCAGAAUUUACUUUCAGUUUUUAGUACUAGUGCUCACAUCCUCAUUUUAACCUACCUAAUGCUGUUUCACUCAAGUGUCUUUUCUUUCUUCCCUGGAACAGCUGUACAGAAGAUUCUGACCUUAUCUGAGGCUUGCAUGUAGGAGAAUAUCCAUUUCUCCAUUGAUUCAGAGAAGUAUUAUGUACUAAAACAAAUAGAAAGGAAAUGUGAAGUUUCUUUCCCUUGACACAGAUAAUGAACAUGUUAAUUUCUUAUAACAUUGCAGAACAUUAAUUUACCAGUUCAGAAUAACAUAUGAAAUACUUCUAUACCAAAAUGGAAUGAUCCUACACUGAAAAUACCCAUAAUAAGAUUCCUUAAAAACCUCUUCCAUAAGCAUCCAAUUUCCUAUAGUUUGCUCCAUUAUUUGAAGGGGAUGAAAAGGUGACCUGUUCUCGAAGUCUUCUAAAUUGCAAAAUUUUAUAGAGGAGGUUGGUUCACAUCUGUAAAUGUUGCCUGAGGAUGAUAUGAAUCCUUAAGUUAGCCCCUGCUCACCCUUCAAUGUGAAAAUAAUUCAGGAUCAAGUAAGAUCCUACAGAAUUAUAAGAGACUGGGACCUCUUGAGGGCAAGAACCAGAUUUCAUCAAACUGACGGUACCUAGCACUGUUCUUUCAAUUUUAAAAGCAAUGUAUUUUCUAAAACCUUUAGGGUCACUUAAUGUCUCUAUGCCUCAGUUGCCUUAUCUGUAAAAUAGGGAUAAGUGCACCUAUCAUGGGAUUAUGAGGAUUAAAUGAGUUAAUCCCUGUAAUGGUCAUUAGGAGGAUACCUACCCGAAGUAUUUAAUAAAUGUUAGUUUCUUCAUGAUCAUUAUUGUCUAUCUGAAACCCAUAUUUCCAGUACUGGAUUAAUAACCAAAUUGGCUUUUUUUGAAGGGGUUGGAGAUGUGGAAAGGAAUGGAAAAAGAAAUGUAGGCCUAAGUGCCAAUUCUCACCAACACUGAAAAACAGAGUGUGGUCUACCAACAGUAACCAGACUCUGAUUACAAGAUGACAAAGCACCCUAAAAGUAACAGACAAAAGUUUUAUACAUAGACACACAGAUGUGCACAUAUACACACACACACACAUAUAUAUAUAUAUAUAUAUAUAUAUAUAUAUAUAUACACACAUUAGCAAGCAAUAAAAGGGAACUUGUGAGUAAAGCAGAAUUUGUGAGGAAUCUCUGAAAGACUAAUACCACAUGGAAUUUGGAGAGCAAUCAAGGUAAAAGCACAUGAGAAAGUGCUGCCACAAAACUAUGACCAUCAAAGGUGCUCUAGACCUGGAGGAAAUGAAAGUGGAGGAUAAUUACUUAGAUGGACAGUUAACUGAAAGGAUGACUACACAAGCCAACUUCUCAGCCACACUCCUUGAGAUUAUCUGUCUUAAUAGAUAACAAAAUCCAAGCCGAGCAGAGAAAUGGAUGAGAAAACAAUACUAAGUGCCUUACUUUGAACUAUGUCCUGCCUGACCUUAACUGCUCCUGAAAACAGUAUAUACUGCAACUUCUACCCAUCCAGGGAAAGGAUCCCAUAAAUAGCAGUGGCAGAACAGUCUUAAUAGUGAAUAUGAACUGUAAAGGUGAGAACACAAGACUCCAAAAAUCUGAAUACCAACACCGUAAAAGUCAAAGAAGAUGUAGAAAUGAACCAUCUCAAGUAAUAGUGAAUGGAUGCACAGAAUACAGUUAACAAGACUGAAACAACAUUGCCAGAAGAAACAGGCAAAAGGCCCCACUAGAGAGCCCUCAGAAAUGGAAAAUAUGAUUGUUCAAGUUUAAAAACAACCAUCACUAACUGGACUGAAUGAUACAGUGGACACAGGCUAAACAUCAAAAUCUAGGUUGACUGAGAACUGUACAACUCAAAGGAAUAGAGUGAUAGAAAAUAUUGGGGGUGGGGGGAGGGUACAAACCAAAACAGGGUAACAGAAUGAAUGGUAGCCAAUGUUGAAGAAAUGGGCCAAAGUUUUUCCACAAUGAUAUUAACCCUAAGAUUUCAAGAACUCACUUGGCUGCCAAGACAAGUGGAGGGGGAAAAAAUUCUAAUCUUACAGCACAUCACAAUGAAGAUACCCUAAAACUUACCAGAAAAGGGAUAAGAUUACUGCAAAGAAAUGAUCAAAUUGACCAGGCAAAACUACCUGCCUGAAAACAGAAAGUGACCUUAAAAAGCUCAGGGAAAAUGGCAGAAUUCUAAGAUGGCCCCAAGAUUUCUUACCACCCAAAGACUUCAGAGAAAGAUGUCACAAAGAAAACAAAACAAGAUGGCAGGCAUAAUUCUAAACUCAUUUCUAGAAAGGGUAACUAGAAUUGUGAGGUUUUAAAAUGAUAUGUGCCUGGCAUGGGCAGGUAUUCCAAUAAUGCCAUCUCUUGUUUUAAUGGAAACAUUUUUGGAGUAUUUUCAAACAAAUUCCAGUCAAUUCACUCUUCUUUUCUAAAAGCAAUUCAUCACCUUCCUUUUUUUCUAAAAGCAAGUCAAACUUUUUUAAGAAACUUUAACCUUCUCUAAGGUGAUACUUUUUAUUGAAUUUUAAUCAUUUUUUUUACACUUACUUUCCCUUAUUGUCUUGUGAGGUAGCAAUGGACUCUUGAAACAGUAGGUAAUAUGACAAUUGAAAAACUAUACAUUCUCUUCGUCUAUUUAUAACCCUCUCAGCCUUUCAGUGCUUGCUCUCCAAAAUCCUCUCCUAGGUUCUAUCCUAAAACACACUUUGACCCCAUAUCUCUCCUGUCUCCUGCCUUCCCUUUCAUUUAUUCAUUAACUAUAAAGACUUAAUUACGAUACCAAGUACCCUAGGGACACUGGUGAGCAGAGUCAUGAUCCCUGCCCCUAAUGGGCUUUACAGGCAUUAUCUCAAAUAAUUGCAGCCAAUGUGUAACAGAAAAGAGAAGUGCUAUUUAGAGAAGUUAAUGGGAGUAUGUAAGAGAGCUCUAGGAAAAGUACCCCAGGUAAAGUGGUAGAUUUCAAAUAUGAAUAGAAAUAACUGAUGUCAAGGGGAAGAGAAUGGUAUGUAUAGAGAGGCCCAACAGGAAGCCAGAUAAAUUUGGCAACAGAACAGCAGCUAGGUAGUAUAGAGUAAGGAGGAUAGUGAAAAAGAACCAUGAACAGGUAGGAGCCAUCCUGUGUGGGUAGAGCUUUAGGGGUCCCUCAAUAAUACUUCCUUUCAAAUCAUUUUAAGUUAUAGUGGUGGGGAGCAGGUGUGAUAUAAGUAGCUUUGCAUCUUGAAAAGAUCACAAGCUACAGGGAUUGGAGAGAAGGAAGAAUUGAUUAGGCUAUUUCAGCAGUAUAGAUAAGGGAUCAUUACACUGGACUCUGAAAGUGGUAGAAAUGAAGACAGAGAAGCAUAUUUGAAAUAAUUAAGAUCAAAAGGACAAUGGGCUUAGAUAUGAGGACAUGUAGGUGAAGAAACCUGAGCCCUAGGGUUUUGGCUUGUGUGGGUUUCAGUGCUACUGUUCCUCUCAUCUGUCCACUAAAAAAAUAAACUUCAUUUUGACAAUUUCAGAUUUGGAAUAGUAGAAAGAAGUCCCAUAUACCCUUUACUCAGAUUCUGCAAAUGUUACCAUAUUUGCUUUAUCCUUCUGAACUCCAAUGAAAUUAAGUUGUUGACAUGAUGUACCUCUAUGUCAAUAUGUAUUUUUCAAAAACAAGGGCAUUCUCUUACAUGGCCACACAACCAUCAAAAUGAAAUUAAUACUAUUAGCUAAUUAUGGACUUCAUAGAAUUUCACCAAUUAUUCCUAUAAUGUUAUUUAUAGAAAACUCUGUUCACUCUGCAUUUGUCAUAUCUCUAAAGUUUUCUUACAUCUGAAACUGUUCCACUGUUGUCUUCCAUGACUGCAUGUUUUGAUGAAUACAGGCCCUUAAUUGGCUUUGCCUGGUAUUUCCUCAUGAUUAGCUACUAAUCAUUCAGUCUUCAAACCACUACAAUUUGUCUUUUCCCUACUUGUUACUUGAAGUCAGUUGUGCUUGCUUAAUUGCCAAUUCUGGACGACAGAGGAUAAAUACAAGCUCUGUGGCAACGCUCGCAAACAUCCAUCUACUUACCUUCACACGGUUUACCCUAUAAGAAUACCAGGCAUUCUGUAUAUACUUAAACACAUCACCCUGUCUUAUGGUUCCGUGACAAAUCACAUGUUUGUUUCCAUUUUAAAACCAAUAUGGGUCCAAGCGUUUGAAUCACCUGGGACCUUGUUAGAAAUCCAGAAUCAGACUUCAUUCCAGGAUUAGCUGAACCAGAAUCUGCAUUCUAACAAUAUUGCCCAAGUAAUUUGCACAUGAAAGUUUGAGAAACAAUGAUUUGGAACACUUUGCUCUUCUUCCUUUAAAUUCCAAUUGAGUAUUUAAAGCUACACCUGGCAUCACCAUCUUUCUGGAGUUCCUCUUGUCCUUUCCCCAUCACUCUGCCUUCCUCCAGGCAGAGAGUUCUAAACUCCCUCUCCUUUUUAGAAUGUUUUUGUCAUAUCUGUGCUCACAUCAUUUUAAUAGUUAUUUGCGUGUCUGCUUCCCCCUAUUACAUUAUAAUUUCUUUGAUUCCCUGUGAUUCACCUUUGAUUCUUUAGCACUUAGUCUGCCUGGCACAGAGUAUAUGAUCAAUAAAUGUUGAACUCUAGUUUUACUUAAUUCUACAGAAAUCACUUAACAAUAAAAGAAAAAAUAACAAGCGACUAUUCCAGACAUGCUUAUAUACGAUGAAACCUAAUUAACCCUUAAUUAUUUGGGUUUGGAGUGGUAGGGGAAGAAAAUAAGGGAGGAGAGAUCGAGAUACAGAAGACUACAUACUCAGAUGAUUUGCCUAAUAAUACAGCAGCACUCAUCUCAAAUGUCUUCCAUUCCUAGCUGUUAAUUCCCCCUGACUAGCAUGGCAUUGCAUUACUGGUAUGUUACCAUUAAUUCUGUGACUAACACAUUUACACUGCCCUAUCUUUUUAAGUCAAAUAGAUAAACAGAACAACAUUAGAAAAAAUAUAAUCACCUAAUCUCACUUAUCUAACAGCAUGUAAUUUCAGUUUUGCAUAUUCCCUUUCAGUUAUACAUGUGCAUACAUUUCAUAUUCACAUUUCAAAUGUAGUUUAACUUAUUUUUCAAAUUUGAUAAUUCACAAAUUAUUUUUUCAGAUGGUUGCCUAACACUCUUCUAAUUAGAGAUAAUAUCAUUUAACUAUUCCCUAGCUAUUAGAGCUGGUUGUUGUUAAUCAUGUUAUUUCUAUUAUGGUCAUUCUUAAAAUGAUCAUCUUCAUGCAUACAUAUUUUCUUUUUUAAAGAUCAGUCUAAGGAAAAAUUUCAAGUAGUAGAAUUAUAUCAUGAAAAAUUACCUGCACAUAACCUAUAUUUUCCUGCAUUUCUUUAGAUUUUUCUCCCCUAUGCAUAGGCAACUGCUGCUUGUCCUUAGUGUUUUCCACUUAUUUUUUUUUAACUUUUUACCAUGGAAAAAUUUCAACAAACACAAAUGAGGAAGAGAAGAAUAAACUCCCCUGUGCCUAUAUUCAUAACCAAUGAUUACAAACUGGUGACCAAUCUUGUUUCAUCUUUUUCCCCACCAACUUUUUUUUGCUGGCCUAUUUUAAAGCAAAUCCUGGACUGCCUAUCUUCUAUCUUGUCAUCGACGUAUGUGUGAGCUUGAAUUUCUAACAAACAGAUAAAAAGUGUGUGUGUCUUUAUGUAAUUACUACAUGCAUUACUACACAUGCAUGCUACAUCUAACAAAAUUAAUUCACUAAUACUCAACAGCCUGCAUGUUCAAAUUUCAAAUUUUUAUUAUCUCAAAAAUUUUGUGUGCUCGUACAGGUGACUUGUUCAAAUCAGGAUCCCCAAAAGGCCCACAUGUUACAUUUGGUUGAAAGAAGAAUGAACAUUUUUAUAUGGUUAUAAUCAGACCAUACACAGAAGUAAAACUUUUUUGUCCUUUUCUAUCACUUAACAUUCUUUAAUGUUUCCAUCCUUACAUGAACUUUUAAGAUAUUUUUAAAAGCUGUAUGUCCCACUGUGUUGGUUAAUCUCAUCUCAAUUAUGCUCUGUUUCCAAUUUCCCAUUAACACAAAUAGUGUUUAAAAUGAAUAUAUUUGUAAAUAUAAAUGAAUAUAUUUGUAUUUAGCAUUAGACUAGGUUAUUAGAAAUGGAUGUAUUGGGUCAGAAAACAGAGCAGUUUAGUAAACAUUAAUUGUAAGCAAGUGAACAAGUAAACAGUGUUUUUCUUCAAUGAGUUUAUUUUAAAAAAUAGGUAGUUUAAGGGUGUUGUCAUUCAUUUCCCAAUACUUUCCAAAAGGUUUGUAUUCUUAAUGCUACCUAAAAUAUUUGAGGGUCCUGUUUUUACUACAGUCUUGCCAGAAUUGAUGAUUAUAAUGUUUAAAUGUCUUAAUGUAAUCAGAAGAUAGUAAAUGUUUAGCAUGGUGUCUGCACAUAAGCACUCAGUGUAUGUUACUUAUGAUUAUCAUUUUCAUUAUUAUCAUUAAAUACAUCUAGUUUUUCUUAUAAUUCUUUUAAGACAUCAUUUUUAACAUUCAACUCUUUAAUCCAUCUGGAAUGUAUUUAAUGUUCACCCAUCUUAAAUUUAUUUUAAUGUGCUGUAUGUGGUAGAGAUCUCAAUUGUUCCCCCAAAAUCAUUGUUUAAUCCAUUGAUUACAAAGGAAACUUAGUUGUUUAAAACAUGAAUUCUUUGAGCCUGAUUGUUUGGAUUUAAAUCCUGGCCCUAUCACUUACCCAAAUGUGACUUUGAGAAAACUAGUCAAGGAGAAAAACAAUAGUGUUACUCACUUUACAUGUUAAAAUACUGUCUUCUGACAGGAACAGGGUAUUUCUAUUUAGGCACAUCAUCUUGCAUUCCUCAAUAAAACUUUGGAAGUUUUCUUUCGUGUAGACCCUUACAAAUUUAAUUAAUCCUAGAUAGUUUAUAUUUUCAUUGUCAAUAUCUCAAAAAUUCCUUUACAUAUUGUAAAUGGUUAUUAUUGGUAUUUAUAAAAGCUGCUGAUUUCUAUAAAUAUAUUUUAAAUUCCUAUACUUUUUCAGACUCCCAAUUUUAACAGGCAUUCAGUUGAUUCUUGAGUUUUUGAGGUAGAUGAUUAUUUCAUCUAGAAAGAAUUUAUCUCAGUUUGUAUGAAUUUUCUGAUGUUAGAAAGAUUUCAGCCUUGUAGAUGGUCAAAAUAUGUUGAUGUUUCUCUUCUUGUUUCCAAGCAUAGGCAAUGUCCCUGCCCCCAUUCAUAAUACUGAAAACAAUUUCAUUUUAAUUCUUCAAGUUUUAUUUUGUAAUUUUAGUGUUUUAUUUCAAGUUCUUGAAACCAACUAGAAUUUAUUCUGAUACAUGGUAUGAAAUAAGUAUGUAAACAAAAUUUCCCCCCAAAGACUAACAAUACUAAAAAUAUUGUUUACUGAAUAGUUCUCCACAUUCUCAUGAAUUUACAAUUCUUCCCUUACAUUAUAAAGUAUAAGCUAUAUAGUCUGCUUCAUGGAUUUACUUUCCUAAUUGUAUGCAAAAUCUAUGCUAAUAAUUAUUACAUAUUUUUGUCAUGUUUCCAUGUGUGGUUAAGAUGGAUUCUCUGAAUACUUCUUCCAGCAGUUACUUUGUAUUUCCCCAUUUAUUCUUCCCAGUGGGCUUUCCAAUUAUUUUGUUAAAAUAACCAAAUCUAUUAGAACUUCAAGUUAUAAACCAAUAAGAAGAACUGAUAUCGUUAUUAAUCUUGUCUAGGAAUGCUGUUUCUCUAAGUGUAUUUAGAUUUCCUUUUAUAUUUACUAAUAACAUUUCAUAAUUUUCAUUCAGUAUCACAUUUCUUCUUAAGAUCACUCCUGUGUAUUUUCUAUUUGUGUGUGUGUGGUAAUUUGUAAAAAGUGAAUAUUAAAAAUUAAGGAUUUA